UUCACACACACGCGCACACACACAUAUAGCCCUUUUUUCCCCUCUGGGAUGUAUUCAACACACUUGUAUAGGUGAACUCAUCGGGGUGGAGUACCUGUGCAUUAGGACGUCAGCAGGGAUACAGAUGCUCCAGAUGGGCUUAGCGAUGAGGACUUUCCAGAGCUGGAGGACGAUGGAUUCAAGGAUGUGGACGUGGGGUUCAAUGAGUCUUGAACCAUUGCCGCAUCUCCAUCACGCAGCAGUGGGACCUCGUUCUCUGGCUGCUUCUUUGCGGACCCGGUCGUAGCGAGCCAAGUCCUCUGCGUCUGGGCUGACCAAGCAGACCGUGCCUGAUGGCCCUGUUGCUACCCAGACUCAGGCUUUGUCUGGGGAUGAGGAGGAUAUAAGAGAGCCUGGGACCUGCUGCUGUUCUAGGUUACCAUCACGUAGUAAACCUGGCCAACAGUCUGGUGGACCUGCGUCACCAGGCCUUUGUGACACAGCAGAGGGUAGACAGCAUCGUUGCUCUCUGGGAAAAACUGCCAGAGAGUGACUUGUCAAGGAAUGGUUUAAAAAGCAGCCACUCUAAGACCUCUGUUGUAGCUUGAACAGAGAGUCUGAAGUGCUACUUCCCUGGACAAGGCAGUGGGCCUUCCUCGUGUCCCAGCGUCAGCCGCCUUGUUGGCUUCACCUGGCUGGUCAGACCAUCACUGGCAUCAGGGUAAACAGAACCAAUGCCAGGAAGAAAAAGCAGGAACAGGAUGUUCUGUGCCUGAGCGUUGGCCAGUCCAACACUCCGAUGGUGGCCCCAGAACCCCUCCCUCCCGCACUGAGUAAGCUCCUGGAGCGUCGGACUGACGGACACCCUGCUUUUGACUUUAACAUCCAGCAGGAUGUGUCUGGGCAGGCUUUUCAGCGUGUCCAAGGCCAGCCUCCUCUUCUUCCUGGUGAGACCCUGACAUGCUCUGGUCUAGAAGGCGACGUGGCUUCUGCCACCAAUGCCACUCCUGUGCUGGCUGGGCCCCAGACCACAGCAUGGCAGUGAAAGAAAAAGGCAGAGGCCGAGGCCGCCGCCGCUGCCCAUGGACAGGCCGUCCCCACGAAGCGGUGCAAGCAUGAACGCUAUGCCUGCAAAUAGUGUGGCCAACCCAAGACUAAAGAGUUUGGACACAGCAGGUUUCGUGGGGUGCACUUCUGCGCAGCAGCAACAGCAGGGAAGACAGUGGAGCAGUGGAUGGAGGAGAUGAAGAGAGGAGAUGUUGGACAGGGUCAGUGAUCUGUUGACCACCCCACUCACCCCAUUGUAAAUAGUUGUAUAUAGUUUUAUAUGUAUUCCUAUUUUCAUGAUUUGUUCUGUGUGUUGUGAAUGAGCACUGUUUCAU